UACAGAGGCCUCGAGCGUUAGGCGGAAUCACUGGGCUUAAAGCGUGUGUAGGUGGAUGCCUAAGUGCCUUGUGAAAUCCCACGGCUUAACCGUGGAAUUGCUGGGCAUACUGGGUGUCUUGAGCCACUCAGGGGCUACCGGAACAAAUGGUGGAGCGGUGAAAUGCGUAGAUAUCAUUUGGAACGCCAAUGGUGAAAACAGGUAGCUGGGGGUGUGCUGACACUGAGGCACGAAGGCCAGGGGAGCAAACGGG
rnacentral:rRNA from 1 species